UACAGAGGUCUCAAGCGUUGUUCGGAUUCAUUGGGCGUAAAGGGUGCGUAGGCGGCGCGGUAAGUCGGGUGUGAAAUCUCGGGGCUUAACUCCGAAACUGCAUUCGAUACUGCCGUGCUUGAGGACUGGAGAGGAGACUGGAAUUUACGGUGUAGCGGUGAAAUGCGUAGAGAUGUGGAGGAACACCAAUGGCGAAGGCAGCCUUCUGGGCCAACACUGACGCUCAUGCACGAAAGCGUGGGGAGCAAACAGG
rnacentral:rRNA from 1 species